UACGAGGGGUGCGAGCGUUGCUCGGAAUUAUUGGGCGUAAAAGGUAGGUAGGUGGUCUUAUUUGUCUGGGGUGAAAGCCUUGAGCUUAACUCAAGAAGUGCCCCAGAAACGGUGAGACUAGAGUCCUGGAGAGGGUCGUGGAAUUCCCGGUGUAGCGGUGAAAUGCGUAGAGAUCGGGAGGAACACCAGAGGCGAAGGCGGCGACCUGGACAGGUACUGACACUAAACUACGAAAGCGUGGGGAGCAAACAGG
rnacentral:rRNA from 1 species